CACACUAUCAUUAACUGAAUCCAUAGGUUAAUGAGGCGAACCGGGGGAACUGAAACAUCUAAGUACCCCGAGGAAAAGAAAUCAACCGAGAUUCCCCCAGUAGCGGCGAGCGAACGGGGAGGAGCCCAGAGCCUGAAUCAGCAUGUGUGUUAGUGGAAGCGUCUGGAAAGGCGCGCGAUACAGGGUGACAGCCCCGUACACAAAAGCGCAUGUGCUGUGAGCUCGAUGAGUAGGGCGGGACACGUGGUAUCCUGUCUGAAUAUGGGGGGACCAUCCUCCAAGGCUAAAUACUCCUGACUGACCGAUAGUGAACCAGUACCGUGAGGGAAAGGCGAAAAGAACCCCGGCGAGGGGAGUGAAAAAGAACCUGAAACCGUGUACGUACAAGCAGUGGGAGC
rnacentral:rRNA from 5 species